UACGAAGGGGGGCUAGCGUUGCUCGGAAUCACUGGGCGUAAAGCGCACGUAGGCGGAUCUUUAAGUCAGGGGUGAAAUCCUGGAGCUCAACUCCAGAACUGCCUUUGAUACUGGGGAUCUCGAGUCCGGAAGAGGUGAGUGGAACUCCGAGUGUAGAGGUGAAAUUCGUAGAUAUUCGGAAGAACACCAGUGGCGAAGGGCGGCUCACUGGUCCGGUACUGACGCUGAGGUGCGAAAGCGUGGGGAGCAAACAGGG
rnacentral:rRNA from 1 species